rnacentral:rRNA from 1 species
UACGAAGGGGGCUAGCGUUGCUCGGAAUCACUGGGCGUAAAGGGCGCGUAGGCGGGAUGGCAAGUCGGUCGUGAAAUCCUUCGGCUCAACCGAAGAACGUCGGCCGAUACUGCCGUUCUUGAGGGAUGCAGAGGAGAUUGGAAUUCCCGGUGUAGCGGUGAAAUGUGUAGAGAUCGGGAGGAACACCGGUGGCGAAGGCGGGUCUCUGGGCAUCUCCUGACGCUGAGGAGCGAAAGCGUGGGGAGCGAACAGG